UACGAAGGGGGCUAGCGUUGUUCGGAUUUACUGGGCGUAAAGCGCACGUAGGCGGACAUUUAAGUCAGGGGUGAAAUCCCAGAGCUCAACUCUGGAACUGCCUUUGAUACUGGGUGUCUGGAGUAUGGAAGAGGUAAGUGGAAUUCCGAGUGUAGAGGUGAAAUUCGUAGAUAUUCGGAGGAACACCAGUGGCGAAGGCGGCUUACUGGUCCAUUACUGACGCUGAGGUGCGAAAGCGUGGGGAGCAAACAGG
rnacentral:rRNA from 1 species